GAGGCCAGUCUCUCUGUGGUCUGUGAGGGAGAAGGAUUGGCUGCCUAGGAGUAUCAUGGCUAGAGCAGUAGGUGCUUCUGGCUGGCUGGCUGUUGCUAGAUUGAGGCCCUGGGGGAAAAGCAAAUAAAGUGCUAGGGCUGCCUGCACUUGCCCUGAGGGAAGUGGCUAAUGCAGACUGCUGCUUGCACCUGGAGUGAGGGACUAGUGACUGCAGCAGGCCAUUGAGGUCUAGCUCCAGUUCAGCUGUUGGUGGCCAGCAACUGGAGUUGCAGCACCCAUGUAAACAUCAAGUUACACUGGAUGGGACCCUGUAAGAGAAUGGAGGAUCAACAGACCACUACCAUAUCUUGCAGCUCCAAGGACCCUCAUGACAACAGGACAGCUCUGGACUCUGUCCAGGUAGGAGGAACCCACAGGUCUGAAAUAGGAUCCACUCCCCAGUGCUGUAUAAAUUGCCUUGUUGACAUAAACACUUUCAGAAAUUAAAAAG